AGUGGAUGGGGAGCAACCUAGUUGUGCGUGUGUAAAGGUAGUGCCAAGAAAAGCGAUGAUCAUGUUGAAAAUCAAUUCCCGGUACCCGAAACCGACACAGGUGGGCAAGUAGAGAAUACUAAGGGGCGCGAGGUAACUCUCUCCAAGGAACUCGGCAAAAUGACCCCGUAACUUAGGGAGAAGGGGUGCCACCGAGAGGUGGUCGCAGUGAAGAGGCCCAGGCGACUGUUUAGCAAAAACAUAGGUCUCUGCAAACUCGAAAGAGGAGGUAUAGGGGCUGACGCCUGCCCAGUGCCGGAAGGUUAAAGAAGUUGGUCAGUUUUAGGAUGAAGCUAGCGACUGAAGCCCCGGUGAACGGCGGCCGUAACUAUAACGGUCCUAAGGUAGCGAAAUUCCUUGUCGGGUAAGUUCCGACCCGCACGAAAGGCGUAACGAUCUGGGCGCUGUCUCGGAGAGAGGCUCGGCGAAAUAGGAUUGUCUGUGAAGAUACGGACUACCUGCAUUUGGACAGAAAGACCCUAUGAAGCUUUACUAUAGCUUGGAAUUGUGUUCGGGCUUCCUGUGCGCAGGAUAGGUGGGAGGCGUAGAAGGUAUUCUUGUGGGGAUACUGGAGCCAACGGUGAGAUACCACUCUCAGGAGGCUAGAAUUCUAACUUAAUUAAGGACAGUUUCAGGUGGGUAGUUUGACUGGGGCGGUCGCCUCCAAAAAGGUAACGGAGGCGUACAAAGGUUCCCUCAGACUGGUUGGAAAUCAGUCGAAGAGUGCAAAGGCAGAAGGGAGCUUGACUGCGAGAAGUACAGUUCGAGCAGGGUGGAAACACGGUCUUAGUGAUCCGACGGUGCUGUGUGGAAGGGCCGUCGCUCAACGGAUAAAAGUUACUCUAGGAUAACAGGCUGAUCUCCCCCAAGAGUUCACAUCGACGGGGAGGUUUCGCACCUCGAUGUCGGCUCAUCGCAACCUGGGGCGGAAGUACGUCCCAAGGGUUGGGCUGUUCGCCCAUUAAAGCGGUACGUGAGCUGGGUUCAGAACGUCGUGAGACAGUUCGGUCCAUAUCCGAUGUAGGCGUGAGAAUAUUGAGAGGAGCCUUCCUUAGUACGAGAGGACCGGGAAGGACGCACCGCUGGUGUACCUGUUAUGAUGCCAAUUGUAAACGCAGGGUAGCCAAGUGCGGAGAGGAUAACCGCUGAAAGCAUCUAAGUGGGAAGCCCACCUCAAGAUGAGUAUUCUGGUGUAAGGUCACGGGAAGACGACCCGUAAAUAGGCACGAGGUGGAAGUGCAGAGAUGUAUGAAGCCGAAGUGUACUAAUAGACCGUCGGCUUGAC
rnacentral:rRNA from 1 species